GACGAACGCUGGCGGCGUGCUUAACACAUGCAAGUCGAACGGAAAGGCCCUGCUUUUGUGGGGUGCUCGAGUGGCGAACGGGUGAGUAACACGUGAGUAACCUGCCCUUGACUUUGGGAUAACUUCAGGAAACUGGGGCUAAUACCGGAUAGGAGCUCCUGCUGCAUGGUGGGGGUUGGAAAGUUUCGGCGGUUGGGGAUGGACUCGCGGCUUAUCAGCUUGUUGGUGGGGUAGUGGCUUACCAAGGCUUUGACGGGUAGCCGGCCUGAGAGGGUGACCGGCCACAUUGGGACUGAGAUACGGCCCAGACGCCUACGGGAGGCAGCAGGGGGGAAUAUUGCACAAUGGGCGGAAGCCUGAUGCAGAAACGCCGCGUGCGGGAUGACGGCCUUCGGGUUGUAAACCGCUUUCGCCUGUGACGAAGCGUGAGGGACGGGAAUGGGUAAAGAAGCACCGGUGAACUACGU
rnacentral:rRNA from 1 species